rnacentral:tRNA from 6 species
GACCCCAUCGUCUAGAGGCCUAGGACAUCGCCCUUUCACGGCGGUAACCGGGGUUCGAAUCCCCGUGGGGUCGCCA